AGAGUUUGAUCCUGGCUCAGGAUGAACGCUGGCGGCGUGCCUAAUACACGCAAGUCGAACGCACAGCGAAAGGUGCUUGCACCUUUCAAGUGAGUGGCGAACGGGUGAGUAACACGUGGACAACCUGCCUCAAGGCUGGGGAUAACAUUUGGAAACAGAUGCUAAUACCGAAUAAAACUCAGUGUCGCAUGACACAAAGUUAAAAGGCGCUUUGGCGUCACCUAGAGAUGGAUCCGCGGUGCAUUAGUUAGUUGGUGGGGUAAAGGCCUACCAAGACAAUGAUGCAUAGCCGAGUUGAGAGACUGAUCGGCCACAUUGGGACUGAGACACGGCCCAAACUCCUACAGAAGGCUGCAGUAGGGAAUCUUCCACAAUGGGCGAAAGCCUGAUGGAGCAACGCCGCGUGUGUGAUGAAGGCUUUCGGGUCGUAAAGCACUGUUGUAUGGGAAGAACAGCUAGAAUAGGGAAUGAUUUUAGUUUGACGGUACCAUACCAGAAAGGGACGGCUAAAUACGUGCCAGCAGCCGCGGUAAUACGUAUGUCCCGAGCG
rnacentral:rRNA from 1 species